UUGAAACCGACUUGGGUAACUAUUCUAGAUUCUUGUCAGAAAGAAGAAAUGAAAGGAGAAGGGAAAGGUAAGACGGGGUUUAAUAAUGCUAACCAUUAAUUUUUUAAUAGUGAAACAAAUACAGGUUGGGUUUUUCUGCGUUCGCUCCAUAGAACACGGAAAAAGAGGCAAUUUUUUCCCUCCAACUCCUGAACUUCACAACUGCAAACAAAAUCCGGGAAUCUCUAUGCCGGAUGAUGCAGACCCGUAUUACGCAAUGUACAUUCCAUUGAUUCAGGACCCAUACCCUAUGGAAAUCGAUUACUAUGACGAAGAACAAGAGGACGAGGACGACGACGCUGCUGCUGCUGGGACGCAGAAUGUUAUGUUUCCGGGACCAGCGGCAGGUAGGGUUUUGGAGGGCAGUGGUGCUACUACUACGACGGCUUCGUCUCAGGAUGGUUUAAGUUACCGUGAGUAUCAGGGUUUUAGGGAUGCACCUGAAGCAAGGGACCAGCCUAGUCCUAAAAAGUCUAAAAGGGGUGAAGCGACACCGCUGAAGGAUGCUAAAUGGGAAAAUCCUGGUGAAGGAGACUGGCAUAGGGAUGAGCUUGACGGGUUAUUUUGCCCAAUCUGCCUGGAGGCCUGGACCAGUGGCGAUGAUCAUCAAGUCUGCUGUAUUCCAUGUGGUCAUAUAUAUGGGAUGUCUUGCAUCAAAAGAUGGCUGAAGCAAUGUGGAAGUCAAGGGAAGUGCCCUCAAUGCAACAUGAAGUGCACACUAGAAGAUAUCAGAGUGCUUUAUGCCUCUCGAAUUGUUGUUGUUGAUGGAGAGUUGCAAAAGAAAGUUCAAUCUCUUGAAUCUAAAUGCACUUCCUUGGGGAAGAAGAAUCUGAUCUUGUCUAAGAAAGAAAAGGGGUGGCAGAAGAGAGAAGCUGAUUUGAGCAUGCAGAUACAGAACCUUAGAGAGAAAGCUACUUAUUUGGAGGGAUUGUUGGAAAACAUGUCAAUAGUGCAAUCAGGAUUGCCCUAUACCAGUCAGGAUUGCAAAGGACAACCCUUUUCUGAGUUUGGCCACCAAGAAUGUCCAAAUGGUUUUCUGUUGCAGACGGACUUACACAUUGAGGGUGCUCGAUUCUUUGAUGUGGAUGUUCAUAGUCAAACUACGAUGGUUGCUCGAAGGCUUUCUGGCAUGGCAGGACCAUAUGAGCUUACCAAAAUAAGCUUAUUGGCUCCACAUGCAAGAGAAAACAUUCAGCUUCCUCUAAGCACCAGAGUUAUCAAGGAUUUACGUAUUUCCCCUCAUGCUAAACUUGCACUAUUGGCUUCCUUGGGAAAGAAAUUAUACGUUCUUAGCACGGAAAGCAACAAUACCAUUGUCACAUAUGACUUACCGGCUGCUGCUUGGUCGUGUACAUGGGAUCUCAAUAAUUCGAAUUAUGUAUAUGCUGGGUUACAGAAUGGCAUGGUAUUGGAAUUUGACCUGCGUCAAACUUUGAGACCUGUGGAAUCAAUGAUUGGCUUGACAAGCAACCCAAUUCAUACUGUGCUCUCUCUUUCAGCUGACUUCGCUGUCAAUUCUGGUAUUAGAUCAGUUCUAACUGCCUCCUCCGUUGGUUUGUGCCAUUGGAACUUUGGUUGCAGCGAAGAAAAGUCUUUUUUGAUUCCAGAAUCAAUGAAUGAAGGUGUUUGUAUAUCUCUUGCUUAUGGUCCUAAAUGUGGGGAUAUUGUUGCUUCUUUUCGUCCUAGAGUUGAGACAGCAGGAGUAAACCUUUCGCCUUCGUUGUCCACUCCAUCCGCCUCUCUCUUGGGGCAAGGAGUACAGGGUUCUCAUGUCCUUUACAAGAGAGUUGGUAGCGCUCAAAGAUAUCAUAAAUUAAGGUCUACUUCUGCAAGUGUAAAUGACAUUCGGCUACCGAAAUCUGCUAUAGUUGACAGAGUGAAUCUGAAAUCGUUGUAUGCUGCUGGGGAUGAAGUAACAGGUGACUUGGUCUUGCAACAGUUGCCUUGUUUAGUGGAUGUUCAGCGUCUAAAGUCUCGGAAAUGUGUUCGUGAUGUGAAAUACUCGCAGAUCCUAAACUCGGAGUUGCUUAGUUGCUUGAGUGAGGACACAUUGCAACUUUUUUCGUCUAAGAUGUCAUGAACAUAGAUUAUGAAUUAGGAAGAGAAGUACAGGAAAGCAAACAUGCCUGCUAUACAUUUCAAAUCGACAUAGUUCAAAGUUUUGCACGAUAGCAGCUGAAGCAACAAAUUCAUGAUGGAUAUUUCCCGCUCUAGGAGGCUAUGAAUAUUAAACUUUUUUUUUUUCUUUUUUUGCUGUAUAUAUCAAGUUUUUGCCUUUGCAAAAGCUGUUAGAUAGUUUUAGUUCUAUUUUGUAGAUAGGCAGUAGGGAUUGUCUUUGUAAAUCUGGUUGAAGCUUUUUUGUCUAGGCAUAUUUAUUAAAAUUUUUCCUUCUCGCGUUUUCCUC